rnacentral:rRNA from 1 species
GACGAACGCUGGCGGCGUGCCUAAUACAUGCAAGUAGAACGCUGAAGGAGGAGCUUACUGCUCUGGAUGAGUUGCGAACGGGUGAGUAACGCGUAGGUAACCUGCCUGGUAGCGGGGGAUAACUAUUGGAAACGAUAGCUAAUACCGCAUAAGAGUAGAUGUUGAUUGACAUUUACUUAAAAGGUGCAAUUGCACCACUACCAGAUGGACCUGCGUUGUAUUAGCUAGUUGGUGGGGUAACGGCUUACCAAGGCGACGAUACAUAGCCGACCUGAGAGGGUGAUCGGCCACACUGGGACUGAGACACGGCCCAGACUCCUACGGGAGGCAGCAGUAGGGAAUCUUCGGCAAUGGACGGAAGUCUGACCGAGCAACGCCGCGUGAGUGAAGAAGGUUUUCGGAUCGUAAAGCUCUGUUGUAAGAGAAGAACGAGUGUGAGAGUGGAAAGUUCACACUGUGACGGUAUCUUACCAGAAAGGGACGGCUAACUACGUGCCAGCAGCCGCCGUAA